UAUCAACUGACCUAGCAGACAAGCCACGAUGAUAGAAACUUUUCCUUUUAGGAGGGAACAAUG
rnacentral:ncRNA from 1 species